GGCUCAGGAUGAACGCUGGCGGCGUGCUUAACACAUGCAAGUCGAACGAACCUUCGGGUUAGUGGCGGACGGGUGAGUAACGCGUGAGAAUCUGCCCUCAGGAGGGGGAUAACGGUUGGAAACGACCGCUAAUACCCCAUAUGCCGAUAGGUGAAAUGAAUUUCGCCUGAGGAUGAGCUCGCGUCUGAUUAGCUUGUUGGUGAGGUAAUGGCUCACCAAGGCUUCGAUCAGUAGCUGGUCUGAGAGGAUGAUCAGCCACACUGGGACUGAGACACGGCCCAGACUCCUACGGGAGGCAGCAGUGGGGAAUUUUCCGCAAUGGGCGAAAGCCUGACGGAGCAACGCCGCGUGAGGGACGAAGGCCUCUGGGCUGUAAACCUCUUUUCUCAAGGAAGAAGAUAUGACGGUACUUGAGGAAUAAGCCACGGCUAAUUCCGUGCCAGCAGCCGCGGUAAUACGGGAGUGGCAAGCGUUAUCCGGAAUUAUUGGGCGUAAAGCGUCCGCAGGCGGCCUUUCAAGUCUGCUGUUAAAGCGUGGAGCUUAACUCCAUUAUGGCAGUGGAAACUGAUCGGCUUGAGUAUGGUAGGGGCAGAGGGAAUUCCCGGUGUAGCGGUGAAAUGCGUAGAUAUCGGGAAGAACACCAGUGGCGAAGGCGCUCUGCUGGGCCAUUACUGACGCUCAUGGACGAAAGCCAGGGGAGCGAAAGGGAUUAGAUACCCCUGUAGUCCUGGCCGUAAACGAUGAACACUAGGUGUCGGGGGAAUCGACCCCUUCGGUGUCGUAGCUAACGCGUUAAGUGUUCCGCCUGGGGAGUACGCACGCAAGUGUGAAACUCAAAGGAAUUGACGGGGGCCCGCACAAGCGGUGGAGUAUGUGGUUUAAUUCGAUGCAACGCGAAGAACCUUACCAGGGUUUGACAUCCUGAGAACCUCUUAGAAAUUAGAGGGUGCCUUCGGGAAUUCAGUGACAGGUGGUGCAUGGCUGUCGUCAGCUCGUGUCGUGAGAUGUUGGGUUAAGUCCCGCAACGAGCGCAACCCACGUUUUUAGUUGCCAGCAUUUAGUUGGGCACUCUAGAAAGACCGCCGGUGAUAAACCGGAGGAAGGUGUGGAUGACGUCAAGUCAUCAUGCCCCUUACACCCUGGGCUACACACGUACUACAAUGCUACGGACAAAGGGCAGCAAACUCGCGAGAGCUAGCAAAUCCCAUAAACCGUGGCUCAGUUCAGAUCGUAGGCUGCAACUCGCCUACGUGAAGUAGGAAUCGCUAGUAAUCGCAGGUCAGCAUACUGCGGUGAAUACGUUCCCGGGCCUUGUACACACCGCCCGUCACACCAUGGAAGUUGGCCAUGCCCGAAGUCGUUACUCCAACCCUUGUGGAGGAGGACGCCGAAGGUGGGGCUAAUGACUGGGGUGAAGUCGUAACAAGGUAGCCGUACCGGAAGGUGCGGCUGGAUCACCUCCUAA
rnacentral:rRNA from 2 species